AUUGAACGCUGGCGGCAGGCCUAACACAUGCAAGUCGAACGGUAACAGGAAGAAGCUUGCUUCUUUGUUGACGAGUGGCGGACGGGUGAGUAAUGUCUGGGAAACUGCCUGAUGGAGGGGGAUAACUACUGGAAACGGUAGCUAAUACCGCAUAACGUCGCAAGACCAAAGAGGGGGACCUUCGGGCCUCUUGCCAUCGGAUGUGCCCAGAUGGGAUUAGCUAGUAGGUGGGGUAACGGCUCACCUAGGCGACGAUCCCUAGCUGGUCUGAGAGGAUGACCAGCCACACUGGAACUGAGACACGGUCCAGACUCCUACGGGAGGCAGCAGUGGGGAAUAUUGCACAAUGGGCGCAAGCCUGAUGCAGCCAUGCCGCGUGUAUGAAGAAGGCCUUCGGGUUGUAAAGUACUUUCAGCGGGGAGGAAGGGAGUAAAGUUAAUACCUUUGCUCAUUGACGUUACCCGCAGAAGAAGCACCGGCUAACUCCGUG
rnacentral:rRNA from 1 species